CCCAGCCCCGCCUCUCUCGGCGGACCGCGCCCCCUUCCGGGAGCCCCGCCCCGUUCGCCGCGCCUCCUCCUCCGCACAGCUCCGGUUGCGGGGAGGCCCGGGUGGGUACCCGGCGCUCCGGCUCCCAGUCUCCUGGGCUUCUCCAGUCCUUCAGCGCCGUUCUCCGGUCACAGGGAAUGAAAGCGAGGAAGAAGGAAACGGUGUCGAGAAUUGCGAAGAGAGAAAGCAUAGAAAACCCACAUUAGAGGCACUCCCAGAGCAGAAACCCUUCGGAGCAUCCCGACUUCCUCGGCCCGCGUGCAAUCCAGGCAAAAUUGAGGUUGUCUCUGAGCCGCCCUCCCUAAGCAGGUCGGAAAGCCCCCGAAUCAUCCCAGGUCCCGCCGCGCUGCACUCGCAACCUGGGGUGGAGGUCCCUCUAGUGGUUGGCACCAAACAAAAGUUCUGUCUUAUGAAGAGCCGAGGUCAGGAAGCAUUUCCCUGUGCCCAGCGCCAAGGUCUGGGACCUUAGGUCCAAGAAAAGCGUUGGCAAUGUCUGACCACAGGAAUGGGUUCUCGAACUGGGGAGGACUGAAGCUGGAGAUCUGGUCCAGCCCCUACCUCCAGCGUGUGGCCUGAACCCGUUUUGGUUGUACUGCUAUGUUGUGGCCCUGCCCAGGCCUCCAAGGACUGGCUGCUGUUAAGCUGUUUAAAAUCCCUGUAGGCCUCAGAUGGCAGCGACACCAGGGACUCGGCAUAGUCCCCAGCUCUGGCAGGAGUCACCACAGCCCUAGCCUUUAGUUCUCUACAGGCUGGAGUGUCGACAAACUCCACAGGACACAACUUUUUCAAACCAAAUUUACCCUCGCGGUCUGAAAUGACCAGUAGGCCCAGGAGAAUUUUACAUGUGAACAGAACCUAACCCACCCUGGCAAAUAUGAGACGUGUGGUCACUGCGGGAACCUGGCCAGCAGCAGACCAAAGCACAGCCAGCAGGGGAAGGCUGGGGCCCGCAAGAGUUGUGUUACAACAGGACACCCUUCAGUUCUCUUUCACUUCCUUAAAAUAGCAGCAGAGCGACUUUUGUAGACGCAGGCUGCCACAGUUCACACAAGGUCAUGGCUGUUUCCGAAUCCCACCCUUUAUUGCCCUAGCGGAGCCACUCCCCUUACCUCCGCCCCCAGAAACUGCUAGCCUGUUCUUAAAUUGAUACAGUUACCUUUUUAAAUGUUCUAAGUCACCGGCUCUGGAGCUUCUUUGCACUUUGGAACCAACUUGCGGGAAGGAACUUUAAAAAUACUGAUAUCUCGAUCCAUCCCCAGAGGUUCUGAUUUAAUGGUCUUGGGGAUAUGGCCACGGCAUGAGGACUGUUAAAACUCCGCAGGUGAUUCUUAUGUGCAACAAAGUUUAAGAACCACUGAUGUAGGCCAUGUCGAUGUCAGUCUUCACUUAAAUCCAACAAGACCCCAGAGCUAAAACGUUCACCUGAAAGAAACCCCAUUCCCAGGCCUGCAUACUGACCUGCGCUGGCUCACAAGAAGCAAAGUGGUCCCUUAACAGGGGCUUCCUGGAGAAAAUGUCUUGACCUAAAAGAGUGAUUCGAGCUGCAGGGAUUUAAGAGAGACAGGGCCUUGCUCUGUCACCCAGGCUGAAAUGCAGUGUUGCAAUCUUGGCUCGCUGUAGCCUCAAGCUCUUGGACUCAGGCGAUUCUCCUAUCUCAGCUUCCUAAGUAGCUGGGACUACAGGGCUCAGUGUGGUCAAAAGAAGACUAUAGAAUCAAGGAUGAAGAGAAGGAACACAGAAUAAAAGGACGUCUCAGCAGGAAGCUCUGUGACUACUAUGUAAUUCUUACAAUACAGCAAAUGAUGCCAUACAGUGAAGCACCUUGAAAGAUUGCUGGGAUAAGCUGACAGCAUGGCAGCCAAAAUAGUGACCCCAGGCUUGCAGGAAUUCUGUGCUUUCUGGAGGAAAUGGUCAUGGGUUUCCCAACCUGCCUUUUAAACUAAGGACCGAGCUGAAGAAGCCCCCGUCUUCCAGCGCAUGUUAUUCCCAUGACAGAUGCUAAAAGUUCAAGGGGAGAGCUACAAGAAGUGCGUUUUCCUGUGGCUACUUUCAUGUCUGGAUGCAAUGCCUAGACCUGCAUCCAUCUUGCGACCAACCUGAAGAUGAACAGAAAGGAAGGAAGGAUGGCCCAAUAGCCUGGGAAGAACUGGUGUUCCUGAUACCAUCAUUAACCACAGAAUCUACAAUCCCGGAACCCCCCAUCCUUAACCAUGGAAUCUACAAUCCUAUCUCUAGACCCUUUGUCCAGAUGCUACAGUUUCUUUGUUCAAUCUAGUUUGUGUCAGGAUUUCUGUUCAUUACAUCAAAAGUAUUCUAAUACUUGUAGCAAAGCAACUGGAGAAGUUUUCACUUUGUCUUUAACCAAAGAAGACUUCCAGGAAACAUCUCCUCAGUGGGUUUCUCCCUCACCACUGGAUUUUUAUCUCUGUACUAGUGCUUUGAUUUGUUUUAGGAGUCUCACCUCUCCACCUGUCAUAUUUCCCUGGCAGGCUCAUUUCUGCUAAUGCCCACAAUAUGUGUAUCAAUGAGCUUUCAACGUUAGGUACACAGCUCUUCAGGCAUGUAUAGCACAUUAAUCUGUCUGCUUCUAAGUGGUCUGUUGACAUGUUUGGGUGCCAGUUAUAUCUACAAGGCUGUGAUCAUUGUCCUGGGUUAUUCUGUUUGUUCUCUCUGCAGGAUGCAUUAGGACACCCAAGGCCAUGGCCAUCACUUACAUCUAGGAUUCAAUCUUAUCUCCUGUGAAUCACUGGAAACCUCCUGUCCUGGAACCCUUUUUUUCCACAUCCCACUGGAUGUCAUUCAUAGCAACUGGUCUUGUGGGUUGUCUAUUUUAUUGUGUUGUCUUACUCUUCCUCCUGGUAUCAGUUUUUAAAUCCUCUUGAUGAGAUCAGCUGAUCAGUCGCUAAGCAACAUAGUCCCCCAUGUCUUUGUAAGAUUCUCUGCACUCAUGGCUAGAAUGAUUUAUUCUGGUAUCUUAAGCUGUGUUUCAGAACCUCAUUCUAAAUAUCAACCUAUUCUUGUAAGUCCACUACUGAUCAUCUUUAGAUAUUCUUCAGUCUUCCAGAGUUCCAAAGGGCAGUAGGAAGAAGCAAUGAAAAUACCACCUGUAUUCUCACAUCUUUCAUUGUUCCACUCAAAAAAUACCACCAUGUUCACUUCUGGUGGAACGUUUAUGUCCAUGAGAAGCAGUGGCUUUGAAGAGUUUUGGCAGACUAUGGCGCCUUACUCAACAUUGGGAAGGUAUCUUGCCAUCAGACCUUUUGGGUCUCCAUGAAACUUCUUAUACCCCCUCUGGGAAAAGUCACUAACUGUGAUCUUACUGAGCUUCUAAACACAGCAUUUUUUUUACACUUAAGUGAGCGGGGGUCCUCCUCAUUUGUGCUUCUCUUCUUGUAAGGGUGACUUCCUCCCAGUAGGAUGAAUCUCAUGCCUAUUUGUGUUAUUUUGCUAAUUCCAGCUUCUUUUCUACUCAGGGGGGUUCCAACUCUUUUAAGGUCUCAUCUUCAGCACUUCUAAACUGUGGGAAACUAUGUGAAAACAAAUGGAGUGGCCAAACACACCAUUCAUCACUGUGCUUCUGGACAGCUGCAAGUCCAUACGUGUUCUGAUAAUUCAAUACAAGAAAGAAGAUUUGCUUGGGAAGGUCUGAAUGGCCCUAGCUUUGUUUGUUAACCAUAACCUCUACCAGCUGGAAACACAAUGCCCCACUAAUACUAACAGUGCCUGCUUGUCCAAACAGCAUUCUGGCCACUUACAGCAAUUGACACAAAUUCUAACAGGUAGAUGGGGCAAAGCAUUACCUUGUGUAAAACUGCUGCUAAAAUAUAUUCCUAGUGAGAAAGGUCAACUUGUGGGCUAAAGUCCUUGUCACCUCCUGAUCAGUUUUCACUUAGGGCACAGCAGUCUGCCAUUCACCAUUGGGAUCUCUGUGUGUUUCUUCUCUCUUAUGAAAGGACAUAUUGAGCGCUCUAGGACUUGGCUGCCUACAUCAAGUAGAGGGGGACCCUCAUGAUUCACUAAGGGGCCUCAGUUCUGAAUAUUUCUCAUUAUUCAAAAAUGCAAAGCCAUUGUCAUUACGUGGCAGUUUAUUGGAACCAAGGGAGGAAUUGGUCCCUUUUCAUGUUCUUCUCCUAAAUAGAGAAAAGGUAAUUAAAACUUGGAGCUUAAUAAGGGCCAUCUCUAUUUGAACAGCCUAAUACAAAUCCAUUCUCAAUACCUUUUUACACCUUGUCUGAACUGACUUCUACUGUGUACUCCACUGCAUGGGAAUUCUGGAACUUUAGAACGAAGGGAACUCAAUUCAUUCUAUAUAUAUCUCAUUCAUUCAUUUUUUUUUCAUUUGUUCACCAAAUGCUAACUCAAUACCUACGUAACAGAGAUAAUGUUCUUAUUGUCUGUAAAUCAGAAAAUGCAUGCAUUGAAUAAACGCCAUAUAUUCUUGGAAGCUGAGGGCUGAUAACUCAAGGUAAAUGAUCAGCUAGUCUCCUAUGAAAUAAGUAUCUUAUUUCAUGUUACAUGUAGAAAUGACCAUGCAACUUUAUCUUAAAGCCAGGCCUUAUUGAGAAAAAGGGGAUCCAAAUUCCAAAUGUUUCCUUACAUGCUGAGAGGAAACCUUGGAGGUCUGAGCGUGAGUCAUAGGUAGAGGGAAAUCAUGCUAAGAUAUAUAUUGUUUCCACCAGACAGGUAGAGGAAGCAGAGACCCUUUGGCAGAAGAGAUACAGAGAAGAGAGGAGGAGAGGUUCUGGCUUUACCGUUCAGGCUUGAAACCCCAAGUUUAGAUGGAUUGAGGGGGAAGCUUAAGGCAAACAUGACCCCUGGGCCAACACAGGCUAGAGGAACAAUGUAGAAAUGACCAUGUAACUUUAUAGGCAUGAAGAAGAUGCCUGUGAUGGCACUGAGUCUCCUGUGGCUCCCUUGUGUGCCCAAAUGCCUGAAGGAUGUGAGAGUAUUGGUUGUUAGAAUUUCAGGGAAUUCCACCAAGUGGGGAAUGACUCUGUAUUAAGGGCUGCAAAGAAAAGCUCCCAGGCCAAGCAUUGAGUGGGAGGUGCUACCUGCCCUCAGGGAUCCACAGGGACUUCAACAGCUGAUGUGGGGUCUCAUCAGCCUCAAGGUGGCCAAGUUUCUAUGCUGAGACUAUAGCCCACAGUUACACCAGCCAUGAUCCUCAGCAGCAGAGGUAGUGAUGAUGAAGUCUGAUGCCCAAAGACAAGCAGAACAAUAUGCACAGUUCCAGCCAAUGCCACGAGGUAGCCUUUGUACUUCCCUAUACCUAGCUGGGAGGGAGGAAGGAAGGAGAGAGGAGACUCCUAGGAAGAGGAGAAAAUAAUUAUCCCAAAGAGACUGACAUAACCUGGAAAAGACCGAGAACUACUAAUUAGCAAGAUAAAGUUCAUUUACCUCUUCCUGUUUCUUACCAAGAUGGUAUGUAUCCUUUCAGAUAAUAAAUAAAUUUAUGUUUUCUUGCCCUAUUUUAAUGUGAUUUAAAUGUUUCUUGUUUUUUCUGUUUUCAUUCAUAACAAAAAUUUUGUUCUCAGAGACACUGAGACAUGAGACACGAUGCUGGACUAUAUUGGGGGGGAGCACCUCAUCAUAUGGGCAAGAUAUUGCAGCAGCAUGUAGCCCUCCACGUCCUGACUGCUCACUUCUCUUUCGCCAUCCCCUAACACACGUAUUAGGCUUUUGCUAUGUUCAUUUAUCUAGCCCAUAAGCCACUCCUUCAGAGGGCAAUGCAUGGAAUUGGCAGCCUUGGUUCCCCACCAACUGACAGGGGUCUGGAAUUCAGGUGUUUCCAAAGACCUGCAGUCUUGGGGGCCUUAAUGCUUGCUGAGUAGCAGCACUUUCUAGGACUUUCCCUAUUGUACGUUUCAGUCCAUGCUUUUCUUUUUGUCUUGUCUCAGUGUUCUUCCCUGCUAGUCUGGUUCUCAACAAGACCCAAGCCCUGCAACACACCCAAAUCCCCUUGAUGGGAACCUGAUUUCCUACGUGGCUUUUCCCAGUCACCCCAUGCUCUCCCCACUCCCAUCUUUCCUGGUGAAUUGCUCCUUUCCUAAAUCUGUUGUGAAUAACAAUUUGGCCACAGUGCUAAAGCCUCUCACUCCUCACUUUAAAUUCCUUUGGGAAACAGUCAUUCAUGUUCAUUUUAGACAAUUUCCCUGUCCUGUGCGGACUCUUCUCAAGAAGUCUACUCCCAAAACUCCUGCUGAGGUAGGUCCAGGUCA
rnacentral:lncRNA from 1 species